UUGUAUGGGUCUCACCUGCCCCAGAAGAGGUUCCAAUUAUCCAGAAAUCUGAAUCCCUGCCCCCUGCUCCAAUUCUUCAGCCACACAUUUAUCCGCCACUUCAUUCUAUUCCUAUCCUCACUUCAGCGUGGCACAGGCAGUAAUCCCGAGAUUACUAUCCUUGAGGUUCUGCUUUGCAGCUCCCUUCCUAGCUCCCUGUAUUCUGUUUUCAGAACCAGAAGAUGUAGAAUCCUUGUUGGUAGAGUUCAGAAACCGCAAGGGCGUAAAGAACCCGAUGAGUGUUCUAUACAGGCCUCCAAGCAGUAGCCAGGAUGUGGGCUACAAAUUACAAAGGAAGUUAGAAAAGACAUGCCAAAGUGCAAUUGUAGGAUAGUCAUUGGGGACUUCCAGAUGUUUGGGAAAAUCAGGUUGAUGCUGGACCACAAGGGAGAGAAUUUGUAGAAUGUUUUAGAUCAGCUUGUGGUUGAGCCCACCAGGGAAUCUGCUGUCCUGGACUGGGUGUUGUGUAAUGACCAGGAUUUGAUUAGGGAGCUUGAGGUAGUGGAACUCUUAGGAGACAGUAGGCAUAAUAUGGUAGAAUUCAUCCUGCAGUUUGAGAAGGGUCAGUAGUUUCAGUGUUACAGUGGAGGAAAAAGGAAUUAGGGCAGCAUGAGGGAGGAGAUGGCCGAAGCUGAUUGGAAAAGGACACUGGCAAGGAUGACAGCAGGGCAGUGAUAGCCGGGGUUUGGAAGACACAGGAUAGAUACAUCCCAGCAAAGAAGUAUUCUAAAGGAAGAAUGAUGUGGCUGUGCUUGACAAGGGAAGUGAAGCCAACAUAAAACGAUGAGAGGGAGUUUAAUAGAGCAAAAACUAGUGGGAAGUUAGAGGAUUGGGAAACUUUUAAAAACCAAAAGAAAGCAGCAGAAGGGGAGGGAAAAGUUUAAAUAUAAAGGUAAGCUCUCUAAUAAUAUCAAGGAGGAUACCAGAAGGCUUAUCAGAUAUAUAAAGAGAGGCAAGAGUAGAUAUUGGACCUCUGGAAAAAGAGAGGCUGGGGAGUUCGUAAUAGGGGACAAGGAAAUGGCAGACAAACUGAUUAAGUAUUUUGCAUCAGUCUUCACUGCAGAAGUCACUAGCAGUAUGCUGAACAUUCGAGGAUGUCAGUAGGCAGAUGUGACUGCAGUUGCUAUUGCUAGGGAGAAGUUGCUUGGGAAAGUGAAAAUUCUGAAAAUAGAUAAGUCACCUGGAGCAGAUGGACUGCACCCCAGUGUUCUGAAAAAGGUAGCUGAAGAUAUUGUGGAGGCACUAUUAAUGGUCUUUCAAGAGUUACUAGGUUCUGGCAAAGAUUUGGAAUAAUGGGGACCUUUGCUGAUUGGCUGUCGGUGAUUAGUCGUUGUCUGUAGGGGUUGAUGUUGGGACCACCCUUUACGUUGUAUGUUAAUGAUUUGUAUGAUGGAACUGAUGGCUUUGUGGCCAGGUUUUCAGAUGAUACAAAGAUAUGUAGUGGGGCAGGUAGUGUUUUAGAAGCAGGGAGGCUGCUGUGGGACUUAGACAGAUUUGGUGAAUGGGCAAAGAUGUUGCACAGAGCAUCUGAGCAGAAGCCAAAUGCAGGACACAGGCACAGAGAUUGAGUUGGGGUUGCUGGCACAGAUGUGAACCUUGAACAGCAAACAGGAGGAACCUUGACACGGAGAUGGGGUUUUCAUGGAAUAUCUUGAAACUGGAGCUGAACUUAGAAAUAACGGUUCUAAGCAGUCGGGAAACGAAGUUAUCACUUGGGAAUAGACCAACAAACUGGUGACUGGUGAUAGCGAUACCAUUGUACUUAUUUCACAGUCUCUGAUGAAAACCAGGUGUACUGUAAUUGAGUAAACCAGCAGCAAUUGAAAAUCUGAUGACUGAAAUUAGGGCAUAAUCAGGGAUAAAGGAGCAUUAAAGGGGAGCAGCCAACCGGAACUAUGACAAAAGAAGUGGCAGAUGGAAUACAGUGUUGGGAAAUGUAUUGUCAUGGACUUCAGUAGAAGGAAUAAAUGCAUAGACAAUUUCCUAAACAGGAAGAAAAUUCAAAAAUCUAAGGUGCAAAGGAAUUUGUGAGUCCUUGUGCAGCAUUUUCUAAAGGUUAAUUUGCAGGUUGAAUCGGCGGUGAGGAAAGUGAAUGCAAUGUUAGCGUUUAUUUCAAGAGGACUAGAAUAUAAAAGCAAGGAUGUAAUGCUGAGACUAGUGAGGCCUCACUUGGAAUAUAGUGAACAGUUUUGGUCUCCUUAUUUAAGAAAGGAUGUGCUGACAUUGGUGAGAGUUGAGAGGAGGUUUACAAGAAUGAUUCUGGGAAUUAAAGGGUUAUCUUAUAAGCAGUGACUGAAGUCUCUGGGCCUGUAUUUGCUGGAAUUUAGAAGAAUGAGUGGGGAUCUGAUUGAAAUCUAUUGAAUGUUGAAGGGCCCAGAUAGAGUGGAUGUGAAGAGGAUGUUUCCUUUGGUGGGGGAGUUUAGGACCAGAGGGCACAGACUCAAAAUAGAGAGACAUUAAUUUAAAACAGAGAUGAGGAAUUUUUUUUUGCCAGAGGGUGAUGACUCUGUGGAAUUCAUUGCUAAAGGUGGCUGUGGAGGUCAGGUCAUUUGGAGUAUUUAAGACAGAGGUUCAGUCCUGCAAAAGGUUUUUGGUCCAAAAUGUCGACUGUACUCUUUUCCUAGAUGCUGUCCUGUCUGCUGUGUUCCUCCAGCAUUUUGUGUGUGUUGUUCAGGUAUCUAGCAUCUGCAGAUUUUCUCUUGUUUGGCGCUUGAAAGGUUACAGGGAGAAGGCAAGAGAAUCAGGUGGAGAGGGAAAUGGAUCAGGCAUGGUGGGACAGACUUGAUGGGCCGAAUUGCCUUGUUCUGCUUCUAUGUCUUAUGUUUCACUUUCAAAGUUUUCUCUAAUGAGGUAUCACAAUCAGCCCCUUAAGUAUCUUAAGUAUCUGCAGUUCCAAAAGUAUACUUUGAAAUAUUAAUUUUCUAACUUUUCAACUGUAAAAACAAAGCUCUUGGUGCAAGCUUUCUUAUGUCUCGGCUCUCACAUGCAAGAAUGAUACAUUUUCAUUUCAGUCACUCUCUUACCUUUCCCCGCUUUCAAAGGUCAAAAUCAAAGCACAAUUGGAGGAAGCAUUAGAGAAGAGGAAUCCCUUUUGUUUCACAGAAAGGUGGAUGUCUGGAAUUCAUUUCUGAAAAAGCUGGACACUUGAAAACUUGCCCGUGUAUUGAAAAAGCUGUGACCUACAGGCAUGAACGUUCUAAAGAAUAGAACAAAUUGGAAAAGUUUCACGUCGAAAAAAGCUAUUGGUAACAUUGCAGAACGUUUUACAAGGUGGAGCGGGCUUAAAAUGUAUCCAGACUGCAAGAAAAAUAGCCAUCAGGACCAUCAAGAAGGCUGCUGAAUGAGCCUCAAGACGGUUAUGGAUCAAGAGGUGUGACCCUUGGAUCUCUGCUGCUGGGACACAAGCCAGGGCCUGACCAACCCACGCUGGGUCGUCUGGGCGAGGAUGUCUGAUGUUGAAAGACCCGGAACACCUGAUGACCCCAGGUUACAUCACUGAUGAUGUGUCCCAGCACAUGCUAGGGUGUAUCUCAGCAACAAAAACUUGUUUACACCUAUCCUGUAAUGAUUGAGAACCUGGGUCAAUGUCACUGAAAAAAAUUGAAUACAAGAUUCAUUAAAGUGAGAUUAUUCACAGACACAGGGUUCAUUCAGAAUGGAAACAAGUCCUUUGGCUCAACCUGUAUUCUGACCAAGAUGCCAUCUAAAAUUGUUCCAUCCGCCUGCCAGUUAAAGAAAACCAUGGAUCAAUUUUAAUAUCUUUCUACUUUUAUCGUGACUAUUUCAGGUCAAAACACAUCUAGGUGAAGUAGGUUUAAUCUAUUUAUAUCCUUACAAAUAUUUUUUGAAGAUGUUAUAAAUUGGAUAACCUUUGAAUCUCAUGGAUAAAGACUGGUUUAGUUUAUACACUACUUAAACUGGAAAACGACUCCAUGUUUUUCCCAUUUUUCAAAGUUCAAUCUAAUAUGAACGUACAUAUAUGUCACUGAAUAUGACCAUUAGAUUCAUUUUCUCACAGGCAUUCACAGCAGAACAAAGAAGUACAAUAAAAUCAAUGCAAAUCUGCACACACACAAAGAUUGACAAACUAUGCGCGUACUAAAAGAAACAAGUAAUAGUAAGAAAUAAAUAAGUAAAUAAAUACUGGGAACAUGAGAUAUAGAGUCUUUGAAAGUGAUUUCAGUGAUCAGUUGAGUGCUGUGGUGAGGAACGAUGUCCACACUGGUUCAGGAGCCUAAUGGUGGAAGGAUAAUUACUGUUCCUGAAGCUGGUGGUGUGGGACCCUCUUCCUGGUGAUAGCAGGGAAAAGAGAGCAUGGCCUGGAUGGUGAAGGUCCUUGACUGAUGGAGGAAAGAAUGCCAGAAUUCUCAAUUUUCAUGUAAUCCAUUUACUGCAUUGACAGCAUAUCCCUCAGGUGUCGCUGCUCUACUCUGUAUAUACACAUGACUGUGUGGCUAGGUAUAGCUUAAAUACCAUCUAUAAACUUGCUGAUGAUACAACCAUUUUUGGUAGAAUCUCAGGUGGUGAUGAGAGGGUGUACAGGACUGAGAUAUGCCAACUAGUAGAGUGGUGCCACAGCAACAACAUGGCACUCAACGUCAGUAUGACUAAAGAGCUGAUGGUGGACUUCAGGAAGAGUAAGAUGGAGGAACACAUACCUAUACUCAUAGAGGGAUCAGAAGUGGAGGGAGUGAGCAGUUUCAAGCUUCUGGAUGUCCAGAUCUCUGAGGAUCUGAGCUGGCCCCAACAUAUUGAUGCAGUUAUAAAAAGGCAGGAUAGCAGCUAUACUUUAUUAGGAGUUUGAAGAGAUUUGGCAUGUCAACAAAUAUCUUCAAAAACUUCUAUAGAUGCAUCAUGGAGAAUAUUCUGACAGGCUGCAUCACUGUCUGAUAUGGGGUGGGGGCCUACUACACAGGACUGAAAGAAGCUGCAGAUGACUGUAAGUCUAGUCAGCUCCAUCUUGGGUACUGGCCUACAAAGCACCCUGGACAUCUUCAGGGAGCGGCGUCUCAGAAAGGCAGCGUCCAUUAUUAAGGACCUCCAGCACCCAGGGCAUGCCCUUUUCUCACUGUUACCAACAAAUAGGAGGUACAGAAGCCUGAAGGCACACACUCAGCGAUUCAGGAACAGCUUCUUCCCCUCUGCCAUCCGAUUCCUAAAUGGACAUUGUACCCUUGGACACUACCUCAACUUUUUUAAUAUAUAAUAUUUCUGUGUUUUGCAUGAUUUUAACCUAUUGAAUAUACAUAUACUGUAAUUGAUUUAGUUACUUAUUUAUUAUUAUUAUUUUAUUUUUUCUUCUAUAUUAUAUAUUGCAUUGAACUGCUGCUAAGUUAAUAAAUUUCAUGUCACAUGCCAGUGAUAAUAAACCUGAUUCUGAUUAUCACUUUUCUUUAACCCAUGAGUGCAGCUGUGACACAUUUGACUACGGAUUCAGAAAUUUCAAAUAACAUACACGAGGAAAUCUGCAGAUGCUGGAAGUUCAAGCAACACACACAAAAUGCUGGUGGAACGCAGCUGGUCAGGCAGCAUUUAUAGGGAGAAACACUGUCAAUGUUUUGCGCCAAGACC